rnacentral:miRNA from 1 species
AGGAGGUGGUACUAGGGGCCAGC